rnacentral:tRNA from 1 species
GACACGAUGGCCGAGCGGUUAAGGCGUCAGAUUAGAAUUAUUGACGAGGACAAUCUGAUACGGUUUCCGUGCGUAGGUUCAAAUCCUACUCGUGUCG